rnacentral:lncRNA from 1 species
AUAAUUUAUCUUUACCUUUAAAAUAUCCAUUUCAAAGGAUGCAGACAUACUGAAGGUUGCUAAGGGCUGUUUCCUGGCUUGGGAAUCGGGCUGAACUGGCUGAUCUAACAGUUCGCUGAGAUCCCAUUAGAACGAUACCACUUCCCAGAGACAACGGGAGUCAUGAGCUUGCAACAUGGUUUACACCGUCCUCCCCAAGAGGCAAUCAAACUGAUCACAGCCACCUGUUCCACCACCCCCACCAGAUCUUUAUGAAGCCUCUAGACCACUGCUGUGCCCAUAGAAAGUCACAAAUUGCUAAGCCAUCUUGGUAGAAGCAGCAACAGCUAAGUUCGUCCUUUUAACUGAAAUAUUUGCCUGUGAAUUUCUAAAUAAACGUAUUUGAACAUGGACCUGGCUUUUGACU